CCUACGGGAGUCAGCAGUGAGGAAUAUUGGUCAAUGGGCGCGAGUCUGAACCAGCCAAGUAGCGUGAAGGAUGACUGUCCUAUGGGUUGUAAACUUCUUUUAUAAAGGAAUAAAACGAGGCACGUGUGCCUUUUUGUAUGUACUUUAUGAAUAAGGAUCGGCUAACUCCGUGCCAGCAGCCGCGGUAGUACGGAGGAUCCGAGCGUUAUCCGGAUUUAUUGGGUUUAAAGGGAGCGUAGAUGGGUUGUUAAGUCAGUUGUGAAAGUUUGCGGCGCAACCGUAAAAUUGCAAUUGAUACUGGCAGUCUUGAGUACAGUUGAGGUAGGCGGAAUUCGUGGUGUAGCGGUGAAAUGCUUAGAUAUCACGAAGAACUCCGAUUGCGAAGGCAGCUUACUAAACUGCCACUGACAUUGAUGCUCGAAAGUGUGGGUAUCAAACAGGAUUAGAUACCCGUGUAGUC
rnacentral:rRNA from 1 species